AGGAAUCCUGAUGUUGUUGCUCUGUAUCAUGGAGAUUCUGCAGCCUUGGGACAGCAGGACUGGCCCUUUUGUGCAUCCUGAUCAUUUGCAGAUGAUACAGAUUUGGGGAGUGGACCUAAUCAAAGCCCUGGAUCUGGGCCUGCAUGGUAGCUGAGCUGGUCAGAUCACCAGCUCUCCCUUACCCACCACUAAGGAGAACUCUUUAGUACUGCUCUAGCUAAGCCACCCAAGUUCACCAUCAGCAGGAAGCAGUGUCAGCUCUCCAACUCUCAAGUCCUCAGAGCCAACUCACCCACACCUAUCAUCUAGAACCAGCUCCUCUGUGCUGCCCAGUCAAGUCCGUAGGUACAUUGGCCCUGGGCCUUCAGAGCAUCGAUGGAAUCAGAGAGCCGACUUUUACUGAUAUGCAAAGGAGAGGAAAGAAGAGACUGGAGACCAAUAAUAUCCUCCAAGAUAAGACUCCUGUUUUUGUUUUUGUUUGUAUGAACCAUCUUACCAGUCCUGCGCUCUGAGUUUUGAUACAUGCGUGAUAUAUGAGCCUGUCUGGAGUGAACCAACUUCACAAAGUAAUUCUCUGACUUUUGCAUGCAUGCCACAAACACAUGCACCUCCCUGCC